GAUGAAGAACGUAGCGAAAUGCGAUAAGUAAUGUGAAUUGCAGAAUUCAGUGAAUCAUCGAGUCUUUGAACGCACAUUGCGCCCCCUGGUAUUCCGGGGGGCAUGCCUGUCCGAGCGUCAUUGCCGCCCUCAAGCACGGCUUGUGUGUUGGGCCCCCGCCCCCGGGCUUCGGGGGGCGGGCCCGAAAGGCAGCGGCGGCACCGCGUCCGGUCCUCGAGCGUAUGGGGCUUCGUCACCCGCUCUGUAGGCCCGGCCGGCGCCCGCCGGCGACCCCAAUCAAUCUUUCCAGGUUGACCUCGGAUCAGGUAGGGAUACCCGCUGAACUUAAGCAUAUCAAUAAGCGGAGGA
rnacentral:misc_RNA from 1 species